AUUAUAAAAAGAGGCCGCGAUGACUAAUUUAAAAGGUAGCAUCGCCGAAGUGAUUAAAUUCACUGGGGUUAUGUCGAAUAGGCAUAACACUGUCAUUAGAAAAUGCCCAUUUUCUUCAUGGUGAGCUUUUUAUAAU
rnacentral:ncRNA from 2 species